GGAGUGGUGGUUCGGUGGUAGAAUUCUCACCUUCCAUGGGGGAGGCCCAGGUUCGAGUCCUGGCCGGUGCG
rnacentral:tRNA from 1 species